rnacentral:lncRNA from 1 species
CAAAAUAUACUUAUCUAAUUUAAUAUAAUUAUUUGUUUAUGUUGUUGUGCAUUUCCAAAAGUUAACCUAACAGGUGAUGAUCUGAAAAAUCUUUGCUUGCAAAAGAUUGAGCACUUCUUAAAAGGUUGUGGAAGAAGUUUUCUUGAUUUUCCAACAAUGCCAAUGCCUGUUUAUAAUGAGGAAGAGGUUGAUCAGAAUAAUAAAUAAUCUUUGAUGAAAUGCAUUAUAACAAAUGUGCUUUAGAAGUGGAACAUCAACAAUUGAUUGGGAAUUUGAUAUAUGAGCAGAAGACUAUGUAUGAAAAGAUAAUAACAGCUGGUAAUGAAAACAAGUGUGAAUUUUUCUUUUUAUAUGGUUUUGGAGGAACAGGUAAAACUUUUAUUUGGAAUACGUUGUCUACUGCCUUAAGAUCUAAAGGAGAUAUUGUGUUAACAAUUGCUUCUAACGAAAUUGCAUUUCUUUUGCUAUCAGGUGGUAGAAUAGCUCACUCUAGAUUUGUAAUUCCACUAAAUGUAACUGAAGAUUCGACAUGUAAUAUCAAGCAAGGUACUCCUUUAGCAAAUUUAAUUAUCAAGAUAAAGUUGAUAAUCUGGGAUGAAUAACCAAUGAUACAUAGAUAUUAUUUUGAAGCUCUUGAUAAAAGUCUAAGAGAUAUUCUUAGCUUCAAAGAUUCAUCCAAUUCACAAACACCUUUUGGAGGUAAAAUAAUUAUUUUUGGUGGUGACUUUAGACAAAUAUUACCUGUCAUCCCAAAAGGUACUAGGCAAGAUAUUGUUAAUGCAACUCUCAAUUCUUCAUAUUUAUGGUCUCAUUGUCAAUUGUUUCAACUAACAAAAAAUAUGAGAUUACAAGGUAAUGAAAUAGGUGCAGAUCUGGAUGAGUUCAGAGAUUUUUCUAAUUUGACUUUGGCUGUUGGUGAUGAUAGAAUUGGAAGUUCAGUUGAUGGCAUUGAAAAAGUUUUGAUACCAAAGAAUCUUCUAAUAAAUGAGUCUAUUGAUCCAAUAUCUACUAUUGUCGAAAGUAUGUAUCCAGAUUUUAUCAAUCGCUGCAAUGAUACAGGAUACCUACAAAAAAGAGCUGUUUUAGCUCCAACUCUUGAUAUGGUGGAAUCAAUCAAUCAAUAUAUGAUUUUCCUCAAUCAAAAUCUUGAGAAAUCAUAUUUAAGUUCCGAUAAAAUUUGUGGCUCUGACCAAACUUAUUCAGCUUUAGAACAUGUACAUACACCAGAAUUUUUAAAUACUAUUAAAUGUUCUAGUGUUCUAAAUCUUGCUAUCACUUUAAAGGUUGGGGUUCCUAUGAUGUUAUUAAGAAAUAUUAAUCAGACACCGGAAUUGUGUAAUGGAACAAGAUUGAUUGUUACUAAACUUAGAAACCAGGUAAUUUAAGACAAAGUUUUAUCUGGACAAAUGGUUGGACAGAAAGUGUUUAUUCCAAGAAUGACUUUAACACCAUCUGAUGCAAGAAUUCCAUUUAAGUUUCAACGAAGACAGUUUCCAAUUACUGUGUCUUUUGCCAUGACAAUCAAUAAAAGUCAAGGAAAGUCUCUAUCUCAUGUGGGAUUAUAUUUGAAAAAGCCAGUAUUUACACAUGGAUAAUUGUAUGUAGCUCUUUCCAAAGUGACAAGUAGAAAGGGAUUAAAAAUAUUGAUUUAUGAUGAAGAUGGGCAGAUAACAAUUGAAGCUACAAAUGUAGUGUAUAAAGAAGUUUUCCAAAAUUUGAUCUGAUACUCAGUGUAUUUUUAAAGAUUUAUAUACCAUUAUUGAUUUGAAUGUGGUUGAAUCAGAAUAUGAAAAAGAUCUCUACAUAUUAAUGCACUGCGGUACCCCAAAAAAUAGAGGAUGGUUAAGAAUGUAAAAAAAUCUUUAUCAUCUCAUUGUUUACACUUAAUAGAUGUUCAUUUAAUGUAAUAAUUUUUAUUAUAAUCUUUUUUUCAAUGAAACAUUACAGGAGAAAAAUAUUGGAUCCAAUAUGUGUCAUCAAUGCAAGAGAACGACAAAGGAUCGAUUGCUAGGUGCAUCAAGUGUAAACCAAUUUGUUUUUCUAUUUCUUAAUUUACCAGAUGGUACUGUAAAAUUUGAAUAACUAUAUUGAUGUUUGUAUUUAUUUAUGUGAGUAACUUUGUCCGACAACUAUCAGUACAAAUCGAUGACAUUUACAUUGCUGAAACAGAAAAUAUCAACUUUGUCAUCCACCAUAAACUCUCUCCUACUGUCCGAAUACAUGAAUAUAGUCUUAACUAUUUUCAUGGAUAUUAUCAGUAAAUUGAACUCAAAAUAAGAAAAAAAAUUUAGAUAGAAAGUAUAUAUUUCAUUUUGUUCUGCUAGAUCAUUAUAAUGAAUUCCAAAAUAAUAUUAAGAUGAACAAAAAAUUCUGUUGUAAAAUAUACACAAAGACUGACAACAGUAUUACCAACCUCGGAUGGUCAUCUUCUGAUUGCCUCAAAAAGUUCGUUAUUAACUUGUGGGGUAAAAUAGAUCUAUUAUAAAUACAAUGGAUCUAUUUUUUAUUUGUGCGUGGAUAUUUCUUAACUUCUCUAAAUAUUUUUAUUUUUAUUUUUAGUUUAUUUAUGUUAGUUUUAUCGAUAUUCAUAUCUUGGGGGGUGAUUAUAUGGUAAUUAAUUAAAUGCUUUACUAUAGUAUUCUUUAUUUUUUUCUCUUAUUUUUUGUAAUUCUUCUAUAUUAUUUUGAAGAUAUUCUAAAUAUUCUAUAUCUUUUGUUUCAAAAUAUCCAAUUAGAUUGUCUUUCAUAAGUUUUUCUAAUAAUAUUAUUUCUUCCAUAUUUUCUCUCCAAUAUUUUAAAUAUUCAUAGUCUAUUGUUUUAUCCUGUAGUAAUUGUAGAUUUAUAAAUUUUUGUAUAAUAAUUUAUCCUAAUUGUACUGUAAUGUAUAUCUAAUUCUUGAUUUUCAAUGCUAUUUAAUAUCCUGUGUUGUUCUUCUCGUAGCGAGUUUUUUAAAUUAUAUAAACUAUCACAUGUACUUUUUCCUAAAUUUUCUAGGGUUUCUUCUAUCCAUNNNNNNNNNNNNNNNNNNNNNNNNNNNNNNNNGUUUCUAUAAUUAAUUUCUUCAUUUAGAUUAUCUUGAUUUUCUCUAGUUUUUCUAAUAUAUUCUAACAUUUCUUAAUCUGAAUAAUAUCCAUCUGGUUAAUUAUCCAGGUAUAGCUAUUCUAUCCAAUUUAUAAUUUUAAUUUCAUAGGCUAAUACUUUUUCUAAUAUUAUUCUCUUGAUAUCUAUAAUUUCUAUAUCUCUAAGUAUAUAUAAGAUUAAUAUUUUAAGAUUAUAUGUCAUUUAAAAUUGGUUAAAUGCUUUAUUAUAAUAUUUUUAGUUGUUUGUUUUAAUUUCAUUAAUUCUUCUAUAUUUUCACUAAGAAAUUGUAUACAUUUUAUAUCUUUAGUCCUCAUAUAUUUAGCUAAAUUUGUUUUAAUUUAUUUUUCUAUUGAUUGUAUAUUUUUCAUAUCCAUUUUCCAAAAUUCUAAAUAUAUAAUUUAUCAUGGUUGAUAUGUAGGUUUGGUAUGUGGUAUUUGUAAGAGUAGUUAGGUAAGUGUGGUAUAUAAUUUAUUCUAGUCAUAAAAUAUUUAUCAAAUAUUUUUUUCAAUGUAAUUUUUCUUAUAUCUACAAUUUCUAUAUCCUUAAGUACAUAUAAAAUAAGUAUUUUAAAUUUAUCUACCAUUGCAUCAGAUAAAUAAUUAUCCAUUUUUCAUAAAAUUGCUAUUUUCAAAAUAUUCCUUUCAAUCAUAUACAUAAUAAAAUAUGGUCAUCUUAGAUUACUAUAUACUAGAUUAUUCUUAAAUAACAUGUUCUUCCGUCAACAUUAGCAUGGUAAUCUAGAUACUUUUUCCUUAAACAGCGCCUCUACUAUGGUUACUCCCCUAUCACGGCUUUCUUGCCUCACCGGUUUCACCUUUAGCUCCUUUUCCACUUUGCUAAUAAACUUCUUAACAUGCUAUUUUUCGAAUAACUCUACUAUAAAGUAACUAACAUGAACUUAUUUCAUCAUAUCAUGAUUGUUAGGAAUUUAUGAAUUUAGGUAUUCAUAAUUAUAAAUAAAUAUACCUAUUCUGGUAGAUUUGAUAAUUCUAAGUUUUGUUCCUCCAUAGCUUUUUCCAUUGAAAUAUACCUGUUUUUUAAUAAAUAAGCAAAAUAUUUGUUGUAGGCGAGAGAGAAUUUUUUUUUUUGCUUCAAC